CCGUGAUGUCCAUUGAUUUGAUUAAUAUUGAUUUUGCAUAAUUUACUUCUUAACUGAAUUUGCAUUUCAGUUGUGAUUCCCAAAAUUGAAAGAACAAUUGCAUAUAUUACAUCUGAGCUUGAUGAAAGAGAACGAGAGGAAUUUUAUAGAUUGAAAAAAAUUCAAGGUAAGAAGAAGGUUAUGAGAGAUGAGAAUGAAAAACGCAAAGAGGCUCUGAAAGCAGCUGGUGUUGAUGUUGAUGCAGCGCCUAGUUUACUAACUGAAGAUAAUGAAGAUGACGUGCUCUUUUAAUAUAAUAUUUUUUAAUUGUUCGACUAUUUCAGAGUUUAUUCGUAUGAGAUCUGGUGUCAGGAAAACUCAAUGGAAGCUAUUAUAUAGUAGUUGUAUGUAAUCCAGAACACAUUUUAAUGACAUCUCAAUGUGGUAUUUUUUGGUUUGUGUAGAAGAUUAUCCAUUUCUAUAAAAACCACAUAAAAUCAAUUAAAAAUAUUUGAUGUCUAGAGCAAAUAGUAUUAUUUGUUGAUUAGUAUUGUUAACUGUUGAUUAGUAUUGUGAAUCGUAUAUAUGAUUAGUAGGGAAAUUUAAUUUCAUUUGCUUCUCAUUCUAUUGCUUUUUUAAUUAUUAUUUAAAUUAUACUUUUUUAGGUAUUAGAAACUUUUAAUUUGAUUAAUUCAUGUAAUCAGAUUUGUGUAUUUCUUUAAUUACUGAAUGCAAACAGUGAUAAAACACAGUGAAAUUGUUUCAAGAGCAGUUGUUUAUUAUAAAACAUAGAUUUUUAGAAUAAUUUGAAUAUUGUUUUAUAAAACAACUGAUUUAUAAUUAAACCUGAAAUUUAAUAUCUGUAGUUAAAAAGCUUAUUGUGUUUAUUUUUCUUAUUAAUGUCUUUUAAACUGCUUUGAAUAUAAUUUCAUACUUAGUAAGUGUUGAUUACAUUCCAUCAUUGUUAAGUUGAUAAAAAAUCAUCGAUAAUAAAGGAUGUACUAAAAAUUAUUAUUGUUUAGAUGUCAUUACAGUUUUGCACAUAAUUAUCAUAUGUUUUCUUAAUAAAUUAUAUGAAAAAUAUGAUCUUUUCGCAUAUAGGUGCCAGCAUUAUGAAGUAAUUGUAUGCUCUAGUUUUCAGGGGACUUUACAGGUUUUGAUAUAAACUGUUAACAAUAAAAUUAAGCAGUGUCUGAUAGAAAAAAAAAGUUUAUAAUAUGUAUGCAAUUAUGCUGAAAAAUUAGUAAGCUGACUAUUAAAAGACAAAAAUUAAUCCAGAUGACCAUAUGCUUUAUGUAAAUAUAACACGUUCAUCAAAUUCUUGCAUCUAAGGUAUGUAAACUUGUUAGAAUGUAUAUUUAUGUAUGUAUUUGUUUGUUAGAAUGUAUAUUUAUAUUGUUCAUUAAGCGUGUAAGAUAGAAAGAGUAAGAAUGGUCUGAAAUAAAUUUUGUAAAAAUGCUAAAA